UAUCUCUUUUCUUAGCACAUAGGAUAGAGUGUAAUUAUGUACAACACAACCAGCUUUCAAAUUUAAAUGAAAAACAUCAUUCACCCAUCCCUUCAAAAAGAAAACAUCAUUAACCCUUCUUCUAUGAUUCUAUCCGUCUCUCUCUUACUUUGGCUUCCCACUCAUCCACAUGACCACAUCAUCAUGCUUCCACCACCACCAUAAAACCAUAGUGCCACCACUAUUUAUUCUCUACCACCUCUAGAAAAAAUGAAAGCAAACAAAAAGUUUAGAAUUUGAAUUGAAAUUGAAGAAUUUGAAAUUCCAUUAUUUGGCAACUCAAUAUCGUAAAUUUCAAUUGUAGACUUGUAUUUAAUGAAUGGAAGUUUCUGCAGACGAUGGAUGAGAGCAGAGGAAGAAGGGAUAAUCAUUUGUGGAACUGCCUUUGGAAUGGAUUGGUUUUGAGUGAAUUGCAGUUAUGUUGUUACCCGUGAUUUUCUUUUGCUUUUUUUUUCUCAGAAUUAAUUUGUUGUAAUUUAUUAUAGUGGUUGUAAUUUGCAUAAAAUAGUGAGGGCAAAAUGGGAUUUUAAUAUUUUGGUGUCC